ACUUGAGGUCUUUCCGUCUUGAGGACCUCCCGACCUGAAAACCUUCCGACUUGAGGUCUUUCCGCCUUGAGGACUUCCCGACCUGAAAACCUUCCGACUUGAGGUCUUUCCGCCUUGAGGUCUUCCCGACCUGAAAACCUUCCGACUUGAGGUCUUUCCGUCUUGAGGACCUCCCGACCUGAAAACCUUCCGACUUGAGGUCCUUCCGUCUUGAGGACCUACCGACCUGAGGUCCUUCCGUCCUAAUGACUUUCCGUCUUGAGGACCUACCGACCUGAAGACCUUCCGACCUGAGGUCCUUCCGUCUUGAGGACCUACCGACCUGAGGUCCUUCCGUCCUAAUGACUUUCCGUCUUGAGGACCUACCG